ACAGGCUUAACACAUGCAAGUCGAGGGGCAGCAUAAACUAGCAAUAGUUUGAUGGCGACCGGCGCACGGGUGAGUAACACGUAUCCAACCUUCCCUCCACUCGGGGAUAGCCUUUCGAAAGAAAGAUUAAUACCCGAUGGUAUAGUUUUUUCACAUGUUUAAACUAUUAAAGGAUUCCGGUGGUGGAUGGGGAUGCGUUCCAUUAGCUUGUUGGCGGGGUAACGGCCCACCAAGGCAUCGAUGGAUAGGGGUUCUGAGAGGAAGGUCCCCCACACUGGUACUGAGACACGGACCAGACUCCUACGGGAGGCAGCAGUGAGGAAUAUUGGUCAAUGGGCGCUAGCCUGAACCAGCCAAGUAGCGUGAAGGAUGACUGCCCUAUGGGUUGUAAACUUCUUUUGCAGGGGAAUAACGGUAGCUACGUGUAGCUAUGUGCAUGUACCUUGCGAAUAAGCAUCGGCUAACUCCGUGCCAGCAGCCGCGGUAAUACGGAGGAUGCGAGCGUUAUCCCGGAUUUAUUGGGUUUAAAGGGUGCGUAGGCGGGUUUUUAAGUCAGCUGUGAAAGUUCGGGGCUCAACCCCGGAAUUGCAGUUGAUACUGGGGAGCCUUGAGUACACAAGAGGCAGGGCGGAAUUCGUGGGUGUAGCGGUGAAAUGCUUAGAUAUCACGAAGAACUCCUAUUGCGAAGGC
rnacentral:rRNA from 1 species